UACGUAGGGGGCAAGCGUUGUCCGGAAUCAUUGGGCGUAAAGAGCGCGUAGGCGGCCCUGUAAGUCCGCUGUGAAAGUCAAGGGCUCAACCCUUGGAUGCCGGUGGAUACUGCAGGGCUAGAGUCCGGAAGAGGCGAGUGGAAUUCCUGGUGUAGCGGUGAAAUGCGCAGAUAUCAGGAGGAACACCCGUGGCUAAGGCGGCUCUCUAGUACGGUACUGACGCUGAGACGCGAAAGCGUGGGGAGCAAACAGG
rnacentral:rRNA from 1 species